rnacentral:lncRNA from 1 species
CUGUGCAAUUUUGGUCUCUUGUGGAGCGAUGUCUCAUUGGCAAUUAUAUCACAUCUUCUUCUUUAUAUAAUAUGAAAAGGCGUUCCAUUUCAAUUCAACUCUAUUGUCGAAAAUAUAACUAUAAUUAUAAUUGGUUGUUACUGCUUCCGAAAUGUUCUGCUUACACUCCUCCCUGCUGAGCUAACUAUAGAAAUGAGAUAUAACUAGAUUAUUAGCAAGCUUAAUACGCUUUUGCUUAUAGGGAAAAUAACGCCACUCAAUCAUGUCUUAGCCUUUCAUACGUGAUUAGAAAGAUUAUUCCCGUUCUAUACAUUUCAAAAGUCAUUAUCGCUGUUGCCAUUAUCAUUAUUACAGUAGUAACGUCAAGGGCUGCAGGCUAUAUUCUUUUCUAUUCCUGAUUGACAUUACAGGUCUCCGAAAAAAACGACAACAAUAGAUGAUAAUUCUCGGAAAAGGGAAACUUGUAACAAGGUUCAAACCACCAUUUUCUACAAUUGAAAAUGCCUGUACCAAUUCCGGAAUGUGACAGUUAUUGUCCAUUCGUUCGAGGUGUUUUAUUUUAUGGUUUCGCCCUGGUCGCACACUUUGGGACUAUUUUUUUUAUUUUUAAAAUGUCUUGUAGCAAAAUAUGAAAUUUUGAAGUUGAAAUCAAAGUGUCCUUUUUCUGAAUGUUGACGUUUGUUUUCUUUUUUUUUUUCGAAUUUCAGUGUUAUGUUUUAUUCGUUUUUUCAUCUUUUACAUAUUUAGUUGAUGUGUUUCCCUCGAUUUUGGUUUGUUACCCGGAUUUGUUUCAGAUCAUCGAUUUUUUACUAUCGAACAUCGGUAUACUAUUAUAGUCUAUAUUUAUGUUAUCAAAUGCUUG